GAUGAACGCUGGCGGCGUGCCUAAUACAUGCAAGUCGAGCGAACAGAUGAGGAGCUUGCUCCUCUGACGUUAGCGCCGGUCGGGACAUUAACACGUGGAUAACCUACCUAUAAGACUCGGAUACUUUUGGGAAACCGGAGCUAAUACCGGAUAAUAUAUUGCAUCGCAUGGUUCAAUAGUCAAAGACGCUUUUUCUUUCAGUUAUUGAUGGAUCCGCGCCUCAUUAGCUAGUUGGUCAGGUAACGGCUUACCCAGGCAACGAUGCGUAGCCGACCUGAGAGGGUGAGCGGCCUCACUGGAACUGGAACACGGUCCAGACUCCUACGGGAGGCAGCAGUAGGGAAUCUUCCGCAAUGGGCGAAGGCCUGACGGAUCAACGCCGCGUGAGUGAUGAAGGUCUUCAGGUCGUAAAACUCUGUUAUUAGGGAGGAACAAAUGUGUAAGUAACUAUGCACGUCUAGACGGUACCUAAUCGAAAAACCACGGCUAACUACGUG
rnacentral:rRNA from 1 species